rnacentral:snRNA from 1 species
AGAUGUGAGGGAGAUUUGGCUGUGACAACAUAACCCCUGAUCACCAAGGUUGACUGGGCUGAUAUGGCUAGCUAGGCAGGUGUUCCCUUCCUUCUUCAACACUCCAAGUGUGACCUUCCCAAGCUGCACUAAAUAGGAUGANCUCCAUGAACAAAUGACUCUCUUCAGUUAAAGGGUAGCUGGGUUUCUAUGCCACAGCCUCAAAAGAAGCUCUCAGCCAUGCAUGAUCGCUGCAUGCCUUAAUCCCACCUGGAGAAGCAGGCCGAUCUCUGUGAGUUCGAGGACAGCAUGAUCUGCAUGGUCUCA